UACGAAGGGGGCUAGCGUUGCUCGGAAUCACUGGGCGUAAAGGGUGCGUAGGCGGGUCUUUAAGUCAGGGGUGAAAUCCCGAGGCUCAACCUCGGAACUGCCUUUGAUACUGGAGAUCUUGAGUCCGGAAGAGGUAAGUGGAACUGCGAGUGUAGAGGUGAAAUUCGUAGAUAUUCGCAAGAACACCAGUGGCGAAGGCGGCUUACUGGUCCGGAACUGACGCUGAGGUGCGAAAGCGUGGGGAGCAAACAGG
rnacentral:rRNA from 1 species